rnacentral:rRNA from 1 species
UACGUAGGGGGCAAGCGUUGUCCGGAUUUAUUGGGCGUAAAGAGCUCGUAGGCGGUCUGUCGCGUCUGCUGUGAAAAUCCGGGGCUCAACCCCGGACUUGCGGUGGGUACGGGCAGACUAGAGUGUGGUAGGGGAGACUGGAAUUCCUGGUGUAGCGGUGAAAUGCGCAGAUAUCAGGAGGAACACCGAUGGCGAAGGCAGGUCUCUGGGCCACUACUGACGCUGAGAAGCGAAAGCGUGGGGAGCGAACAGG